AUUCAAUAAAUAUUUAUUUUACAGUGUUGUGUGUCCAUUCUUCUUUUAAGAGAACAUGGCUCAUGGCAUCAACCGAGUACACAUUUUCAUUACGAUUCUUUGCAUUGCUUUAGUUUUGCAUACAGGUGGUGCAAGAAGAUAUGAAGAAAAUAUGAGUGGGGAUCCCAAAUUGGAUUGUUUUAACACAGCGGAAUGUCCAUUGUCUGAUGAAACUUGUGCACACAAUUGUCAACGUGGAGGUUUGCUUACUGGCAGUUGUCAUGGACAUCGAUGUUGUUGUGAAUAAAAAUUUAUCAUUUUGCUCUCCAUCAAUAAAAAUUAAAAAUAAAUGCAUUGAAUUAAGUUUGCAUUGA